rnacentral:RNase_P_RNA from 1 species
AAUAAGGAUACGCUGACCGCGCUGCAAGCUUGUAAUGACACAUGGUUGCGGUGAGGAAAAGUCCGGGCUCCUCCGGAAAAGAUGCCGGGUAAUAACCGGGCGGCAGGCAGCUUUGCUAUGCAAAGCUGCCCUCUGACAGAGAGUGCUACAGAAAAGAACCGCCUGGCACACGCCGGGCAAGGGUGAAAAGGCAGGGUAAGAGCCUACCGCGUUUCUGGCAACAGGGACGGCAUAAGCAAACCUCAUCUGGAGCAAAAUCAGACAGCAGCUUGGUUUCCGGCCUUAUGCUGCGGGUAGAUUGCUGGAGAUGCCGGGCAACCGGCAUUGCAGACAGAUGGUCAGCGCGCUUUUCAAAGCGCUCCAGAACCCGGCUUACGUAUCCUUUUUUUAU